CAGGACUUUUGCAUAUUGCCAAAAAGAGAACGGGGAGACAUAGUUUCAGGUUUGGGUAUACAGCAAGUCUUGAAGGCAUGCCCAUAGUGAGGACUUUGAUGAAUGGCUCACCACUUCUCCCACGACCCAUCCAAACCUGUAGUGUUAAGGAAGUGAGGUGCUAUUGCUCUUUUAGUAGGCUGGGACACCAGGCCACCACAAUUAUUAAAAAUGUAGGGUUAUUUCAGGAAGGUAGAACAUAUGCUGACCAUACGAAAUAUAUUUUUAGGCAGAUCUUAUCUGGAGAAUGUCGCUUUUGAUGAAGGAAACUAGGUAAAAAUUAUCUUGCUACUCAGAAGAAUUGUUUUAGGUAAGAUAGAUCAAUGGCAAAGAUACUUAAUUGGUUUAAUCACUUUGAAGUCUUGAGGAUGGCCACACAAAUCUGUCUUUCUGAGUAUGGAGAGGGAAAGACCUUGUCUCCUUCAUGUCCAUGUUCUUUUCUCAGUGCUGUUGUCAGGAGCUAGUUGCCACACUUCAAUACCCCCAGGCUCCAAACAGCAUAGGCGAGGGUGGGCUUAGGAUGUGGCUUGUUGCAUAUGUACUUGGUGAUUCCUCCUUGGGCUGGUUUCCUCGUCUACUGAUGGCAAAGUGAAUGUAUCUGUGCAUUGCCAAGUGGCCCUCCCACCCCUGCUCAACGUCUCGUCAUACAUUAUAAUGAGCAGCAACCUCAGCUCUAUGGGGGUAGCCUCAGAAUCUUCCUCCAAGCUAUGACUUUGCGAUGCAGGCAGAAGGACAGGGAAUUGUGUGUGCUUCCUUUUUACCUCUCUCUUUUACUCUCAGCAGACCACUCAAAUGAUGAUGAGCUGCCAAGCUAUAAAUCGUUGAAGAUUCUCUGGCCAGGGAAGCUAUGAAAAAGGAGAGAACUGGUAGGGAGAAAAGAUAGGAGAGCAACACACAUCUUUGCUUCAGGGAUCCAAGGAGGACCACCACA
rnacentral:lncRNA from 1 species